GCCCACAGUCCACAUCGAAACCGCGAAGAGACCGCGUCGCGCGUGUCGUAACAUCCAUACACACACAUACAUCCACACAAUCCUCAUCAAUACAGUCAAAAAACAAUCCGCGCAGCGCUCAGUCAAAUUCGACGUCGAACGGCAUGACGGUGGUGCUUACCUCUGAAGAAUCGCAGAGCUAAAAUUGGAAGUGAUCAUUCGAACAAAAAAAAAAACAACAAAAUAAUAGAUGUACUAUGAGAAAGAAGCGAACGAAGUAAAUACACAAGAGAAGAGAAGAUCAGCACGCAGACAGAAAAAGAAAAUUCGAUGAUAACGAGUGAACGAAGAACAUCGCACACGACUAGUUUCAAUUAAGACUGAUUAAUAUUUAAGUUUUAUUUUCGGUUGUUCGUUGGUUUUUUUUUACGCAAUUAUUAAUUUUAAUCGAAAUACUGUGAUAUUUCCUUUGAAAUUAUUAAGGAUUACUCAAACUCCUUCAGGACGACGCAACAGGAGCUUUAACUUAACUCACAAUCUCUUUCUCUAUUGGAUUCUUUACUAUUUAUAAACAACACAGAAUCUUCGCAGCGAUGAUGUUCUCAAAGAGUUCGUCUUCUACAUCUACAUCUUCGUCAUCUUCCAACGCUAUUAUGAUUUUCACCGUCAUCGCCGUAUUGGUUUCUUCCACGUUCACUGCCACUUAUGCUGCCAAUAUACCCAAUAAACCAACAAGUAAGUAC